AUGAGUUAUGGUCAACAAACAAUACGUGCUACAAGGUACAUAGGUCAAAGUUUCAUAACUACCUUAUCCCACACAAAUCAUUUACCUAUAACGAUUCAUUACCCUUAUGAAAAAUCGGACCUGUUCUGA
rnacentral:rRNA from 1 species